rnacentral:rRNA from 1 species
CCCUUAGAUGUUCUGGGCCGCACGCGCGCUACACUGAUGCAUUCAACGAGCCUAUCCUUGACCGACAGGUCCGGGUAAUCUUUGAAUCUGCAUCGUGACGGGGAUAGAUUAUUGCAAUUAUUAAUCUUCAACGAGGAAUGCCUAGUAGGCGCAAGUCAUCAGCUUGCGUCGAUUACGUCCCUGCCCUUUGUACACACCGCCCGUCGCUACUACCGAUUGAACGGUUUAGUGAGGGCCUCGGAUUGGUCUCGGCCCGCUCUUUACCGGGCGGCGCCGUUGGUCGAGAAGACGCUCGAACUUGAUCGUUUAGAGGAAGUAAAAGUCGUAACA